rnacentral:rRNA from 1 species
GACAGACGGUGCAAGCGUUACUCGGAAUUACUGGGCGUAAAGCGUCUGUAGGUGUUUUUCCACGUCUGGUGCUAAAUUGCGGGGCUCAACCCCGUAUCUGUACUGGAAACGAGAAGAAUCGAGUCACUCAGAGGCAUCUGGAAUGUCGUGUGUAGGGGUAAAAUCCGUAGAUACACGAUGGAACGCCAAAAGCGAAGGCAGGAUGCUAGGGGUGUACUGACACUCAGAGACGAAAGCGUGGGGAGCAAAGGGG